rnacentral:rRNA from 1 species
GAUGAACGCUAGCGACAGGCUUAACACAUGCAAGUCGAGGGUCAGCACAGGUAGCAAUACCGGGUGGCGACCGGCGCACGGGUGAGUAACGCGUAUGCAACUUACCUAUCAGAGGGGGAUAACCCGGCGAAAGUCGGACUAAUACCGCAUGAAGCAGGGGCCCCGCAUGGGGAUAUUUGCUAAAGAUUCAUCGCUGAUAGAUAGGCAUGCGUUCCAUUAGGCAGUUGGCGGGGUAACGGCCCACCAAACCGACGAUGGAUAGGGGUUCUGAGAGGAAGGUCCCCCACAUUGGUACUGAGACACGGACCAAACUCCUACGGGAGGCAGCAGUGAGGAAUAUUGGUCAAUGGCCGAGAGGCUGAACCAGCCAAGUCGCGUGAGGGAUGAAGGUUCUAUGGAUCGUAAACCUCUUUUAUAAGGGAAUAAAGUGCGGGACGUGUCCCGUUUUGUAUGUACCUUAUGAAUAAGGAUCGGCUAACUCCGUGCCAGCAGCCGCGGUAAUACGGAGGAUCCGAGCGUUAUCCGGAUUUAUUGGGUUUAAAGGGUGCGUAGGCGGCCUUUUAAGUCAGCGGUGAAAGUCUGUGGCUCAACCAUAGAAUUGCCGUUGAAACUGGGGGGCUUGAGUAUGUUUGAGGCAGGCGGAAUGCGUGGUGUAGCGGUGAAAUGCAUAGAUAUCACGCAGAACCCCGAUUGCGAAGGCAGCCUGCCAAGCCAUUACUGACGCUGAUGCACGAAAGCGUGGGGAUCAAACAGGAAUAGAUACCCUGGUAGUCCACGCAGUAAACGAUGAUCACUAGCUGUUUGGGAUACACUGUAAGCGGCACAGCGAAAGCGUUAAGUGAUCCACCUGGGGAGUACGCCGGCAACGGUGAAACUCAAAGGAAUUGACGGGGGCCCGCACAAGCGGAGGAACAUGUGGUUUAAUUCGAUGAUACGCGAGGAACCUUACCCGGGUUUGAACGCAUUCGGACCGAGGUGGAAACACCUUUUCUAGCAAUAGCCGUUUGCGAGGUGCUGCAUGGUUGUCGUCAGCUCGUGCCGUGAGGUGUCGGCUUAAGUGCCAUAACGAGCGCAACCCUUGCCACUAGUUACUAACAGGUAAAGCUGAGGACUCUGGUGGGACUGCCAGCGUAAGCUGCGAGGAAGGCGGGGAUGACGUCAAAUCAGCACGGCCCUUACAUCCGGGGCGACACACGUGUUACAAUGGCGUGGACAAAGGGAAGCCACCUGGCGACAGGGAGCGAAUCCCCAAACCACGUCUCAGUUCGGAUCGGAGUCUGCAACCCGACUCCGUGAAGCUGGAUUCGCUAGUAAUCGCGCAUCAGCCAUGGCGCGGUGAAUACGUUCCCGGGCCUUGUACACACCGCCCGUCAAGCCAUGGGAGCCGGGGGUACCAGAAGUCCGUAACCGCGAGGAUCGGCCUAGGGUAAAACUGG